rnacentral:tRNA from 3 species
GGGCGAUUAGCUCAGUUGGCUAGAGCGCGUGCUCGACAUGCACGAGGUCACUGGUUCGAGCCCAGUAUCGCCCA